rnacentral:rRNA from 1 species
UACGGGGGGGGGCAAGCGUUUGUUCGGAAUUACUGGGCGUAAAGGGUUCGUAGGUGGCUCGCUAAGUCAGACGUGAAAUCCCUCAGCUUAACUGGGGAACUGCGUCUGAGACUGGCAAGCUCGAGUGCAGGAGAGGAACGCGGAAUUCCAGGUGUAGCGGUGAAAUGCGUAGAUAUCUGGAGGAACACCGGUGGCGAAGGCGGCGUUCUGGACUGCAACUGACACUGAGGAACGAAAGCCAGGGGAGCAAACGGG